rnacentral:rRNA from 1 species
AUACGUCCUACGGGAGAAAGCGGGGGAUCUUCGGACCUCGCGCCAUUAGAUGAGCCUAGGUCGGAUUAGCUAGUUGGUGAGGUAAUGGCUCACCAAGGCGACGAUCCGUAACUGGUCUGAGAGGAAGAUCAGUCACACUGGAACUGAGACACGGUCCAGACUCCUACGGGAGGCAGCAGUGGGAAUAUUGGACAAUGGGCGAAAGCCUGAUUCCAGCCAUGCCGCGUGUGUGAAGAAAGGUCUUCGGAUUGUAAAGCACUUUAAGUUGGGAGGAAGGGUAGUAACCUAAUACGUUGCUACUUUGACGUUACCGACAGAAUAAGCACCGGCUAACUCCGUG